rnacentral:rRNA from 1 species
CCUACGGGAGGCAGCAGUGAGGAAUAUUGGUCAAUGGGCGGAAGCCUGAACCAGCCAAGUAGCGUGCGGGAUGAAGGCCCUACGGGUCGUAAACCGCUUUUGCACGGGGAUAACACCCUCCACUUGUGGAGGUCUGCAGGUACCGUGCGAAUAAGGGCCGGCUAAUUCCGUGCCAGCAGCCGCGGUAAUACGGAAGGCCCGAGCGUUAUCCGGAUUCAUUGGGCUUAAAGGGAGCGUAGGCGGGCGUUCAAGUCAGCUGUAAAAGCGCGCGGCUCAACCGCGCCCCGCAGUUGAAACUGGGCGCCUUGAGUUAACAACAGGCAGGCGGAAUUCGUGGUGUAGCGGUGAAAUGCAUAGAUAUCACGAGGAACCCCGAUUGCGAAGGCAGCCUGCCGGGGUGCGACUGACGCUGAGGCUCGAAGGUGCGGGUAUCAAACAGGAUUAGAUACCCCUGUAGUC